rnacentral:rRNA from 1 species
AUUGAACGCUGGCGGCAGGCCUAACACAUGUAAGUCGAACGGUAACAGGAAGAAGCUUGCUUCUUUGCUGACGAGUGGCGGACGGGUGAGUAAUGUCUGGGAAACUGCCUGAUGGAGGGGGAUAACUACUGGAAACGGUAGCUAAUACCGCAUAACGUCGCAAGACCAAAGAGGGGGACCUUCGGGCCUCUUGCCAUCGGAUGUGCCCAGAUGGGAUUAGCUAGUAGGUGGGGUAACGGCUCACCUAGGCGACGAUCCCUAGCUGGUCUGAGAGGAUGACCAGCCACACUGGAACUGAGACACGGUCCAGACUCCUACGGGAGGCAGCAGUGGGGAAUAUUGCACAAUGGGCGCAAGCCUGAUGCAGCCAUGCCGCGUGUAUGAAGAAGGCCUUCGGGUUGUAAAGUACUUUCAGCGGGGAGGAAGGGAGUAAAGUUAAUACCUUUGCUCAUUGACGUUACCCGCAGAAGAAGCACCGGCUAACUCCGUG